rnacentral:piRNA from 1 species
GACCAGCUCAGCUGCUUAGCAGGUA